AUUGAACGCUGGCGGCAGGCUUAACACAUGCAAGUCGAGCGGUAACAGAGAGAAGCUUGCUUCUCUGCUGACGAGCGGCGGACGGGUGAGUAAUGCCUAGGAAUCUGCCUAGUAGUGGGGGAUAACUUGCCGAAAGGUAAGCUAAUACCGCAUACGUCCUACGGGAGAAAGGAGGGGACCUUCGGGCCUUUCGCUAUUAGAUGAGCCUAGGUCGGAUUAGUUAGUUGGUGAGGUAAUGGCUCACCAAGACCGCGAUCCGUAACUGGUCUGAGAGGAUGAUCAGUCACAAUGGGACUGAGACACGGUCCAGACUCCUACGGGAGGCAGCAGUGGGGAAUAUUGGGCAAUGGGGGGAACCCUGAUUCAGCCAUGCCGCGGGGGUGAAGAAGGUCUUAGGAUUGUAAAGCACUUUAAGUUGGGAGGAAGAGCAGUUAACUAAUAUUUGACUGUUUUGACGUUACCGACAGAAUAAGCACCGGCUAACUUCGUGCCAGCCGCCGCAGUAA
rnacentral:rRNA from 1 species